AUUGAACGCUGGCGGCAGGCCUAACACAUGCAAGUCGAACGAGUGGCGGACGGGUGAGUAAUGUCUGGGAAACUGAACGAUGGAGGGGGAUAACUACUGGAAACGGUAGCUAAUACCGCAUACCAUCGGAUGUGCCCAGAUGGGCUGAGCUAGUAGGUGGGGUAACGGCUCACUUAGGCGACGAUCCCUAGCUGGUCUGAGAGGAUGACCAGCCACACUGGAACUGAGACACGGUCCAGACUCCUACGGGAGGCAGCAUUGGGGAAUAUUGCACAGUGGGCGCAAGCCUGAUGCAGCCAUGCCGCGUGUAUGAAGCAGGCCUUCGGGUUGUAAAGUACUUUCAGCGAGGAGGCGUUACUCGCAGAAGAAGCACCGGCUAACUCCGUGCCAGCAGCCGCGGUAAUUC
rnacentral:rRNA from 1 species